rnacentral:rRNA from 1 species
AGUGAACGCUGGCGGUAGGCCUAACACAUGCAAGUCGAACGGCAGCACAGUAAGAGCUUGCUCUUACGGGUGGCGAGUGGCGGACGGGUGAGGAAUACAUCGGAAUCUACUUUUUCGUGGGGGAUAACGUAGGGAAACUUACGCUAAUACCGCAUACGACCUACGGGUUAAAGCAGGGGAUCUUCGUACCUUGCGCGAUUGAAUGAGCCGAUGUCGGAUUAGCUAGUUGGCGGGGUAAAGGCCCACCAAGGCGACGAUCCGUAGCUGGUCUGAGAGGAUGAUCGGCCACACUGGAACUGAGACACGGUCCAGACUCCUACGGGAGGCAGCAGUGGGGAAUAUUGGACAAUGGGCGCAAGCCUGAUCCAGCAAUACCGCGUGGGUGAAGAAGGCCUUCGGGUUGUAAAGCCCUUUUGUUGGGAAAGAAAAGCAGCAGGUUAAUACCCCGCUGUUCUGACGGUACCCAAAGAAUAAGCACCGGCUAACUUCGUG